UUAUCCCAUCAAUUAAAUCCAAUUUGCUAGCCAUGUUCUCUCUCCUAACCCAACACAGACGUUUCUUCUCCUCCCUUUCCUCUUCUUCACAAAAUUCCAUCCUUCCUCAGCCAUGGCAGAACUUGCCAUUACCAUUUUUGAACAAGAAGCUCUGCACCUCAUUUAAUUUUCUUCAACAUCAAUGUUUAAAUUUCAAAUAAUAAUUUUUCACUCAAUUUCGAAAUCCCGCCCAAAUCAAGAACCCUAGAAAUCAGCCUAUAAAUACCCACCUUUGAAGAGAUUUUCGACCAAGCUUCAGCCCCCUCCUUUAACCUGAGGCUCUUGGCCGCCCACUUUCACCCCCAAAGUUGGAAGCUCUGAGCCGCCCCAUUUGACCCCCUAAACACCGUAUGAUUCACCGGCCACCUCUCAGAAGAUCACUAUAUUUGUGCUUUCGCUACUCAAAAUUUUCUUUAAUAAUUUAGUGUUAUCCUUUUGCAACCUUUUCAACUUCUGUUUGGUUUUCUCUUAGCCAUAAAAGAGCCAUUAAUUUGCUCGCUUCAAUGUUUUCUUAGUCGUUUGUAGUAGCGGGUUCGAGGUCGGAGUUCGAUAGUGCACCUAAGACCCCCGCCUCAGUUCGCUGCCCUGCAAAAGGUUUGUAGAUUCUUCUCUUGCUCUCGUUUUCCUCUUUUUUUAUUAGAGCAUGGUCAUACUUGAUGUGUGCUUGUUUUAAGUGUCGUUAGUUUCUGUAUUGAGACCACAAACGUAGGUGUUCAACCUUAUGCCUGUUUAAUAUAAUGGAAUGAUUCUAUACUUAAACAGUUAUUAAAACUAAUGUUUUUAAGGAGAUUAUAUUCUUGCGCUUAUUCUUUGCAACAUACUUGACUGAUAUUUGAUAAAAUGCUUACAUGAAUUUACUUUGUUUUUCUUUGUAUACUUCUCUGUUAGAUGUCAUAAUUUAAGAAAGAGUUUCUUUUAUGAAUUAGGUACGUAAGAAAAGAUUCAUUACUAAUUGUGAUUUAAAACCCUUCACUUAGACAUUAUGCUUAAGAUUUAAUAGAAAAAAAUGAGAUUCUUUUCUUUAUCACUACUGUAAGUGUUGGUGAAUGAAUAUAGGCAAUUUGUUCAUUACUUUAAGAAGAUAACACUUGGACAAUAAUUUACUGUUUAUGCAUUGGAGAAAUCAUAACGCUAUUAGAGAGGGAAUACAUUUAUCAUUCUUAUUUUUCAAGAGAUACAUGGACCAUGAGUUUAGAUUCUCUUUUAUUGGAGGUUUAGAUAUCAUGCCUAUAGGGAUUAAGUGGCUUUUCCUAAAAAUUAAUUUAGUAGAAUACAUUUAGGACUUCUCUGGUUAUAUUUUAUGUUAGCCAUGUUAGAUUUCGCUAAGAUGAACCUUUUAACUGCUUUUCUGUAACCCCGACCGAGUUCAAAAUGAAGUAGUAACUUUCCUCGAUUUGUCUAGCUUUGUCAUGGUAGAUUUAGAUGAUUGUUGUAACAAUAUGAUACACAAUGAUUUAGGAUUCCCCUUGUAAGUGUUAAUAAUUUGGCUGAAUGUUGCAUAUAAAUAUUAAAAUAUUUCUAGCAACAAGUAUUGACAGUUCGGUCUCAGAUUUUUUUGACAUUUUGAAGUCAACUUGUAUCUCUUGAUUUGUAAAAUUAGAAUGAAUUGAAAGGGUGCAUCUUGAGUAUUAAGCUCUACUUAGAAAAUUUUUCCACAACUUAGAAUUAUAAAAUCUGUUAGCAUAGUUUAGAUCUUUGAAACAUUAUUUAUUUUCAUCACAAGCUAAUCGUUUGAUUGACAUUCUGGUUCUUGUCUAAAUUAUUGUGUAUUAGUUUGAGAAUUCUCUAUUCUAAUUCUUGUUUAUUUUUUUCUCUUGUUUUGCAUAUGCACUCAGAGCAAACUAUGAGUUUUAUGCGAGACUCCCCCAUACCAGAGCAUGAAGUUAUCACAUGGUAUAUUCCUUAGAGUGCGCCCAAUAGCAAGAAAACAAGCGAAAUGCUUGGGGGCGCCUAUGGCAUCUUUCUUAUCUUCUCUUUAUUUUACGAUUGUUUUAUUUAAUUUCUUGAUGUCUCCUGGUUUAUUUGGUAUUUGUGUUUAUCUCACGCUUAACAUGGGGUUGAAGAUUGAGUCUAUUUAAUUAUAUCUCUUCUUUAGCUAGCAAACAGGGUACCUAUUUUAUCAUAUAAUGUUUACCUAGAUUUCUAAACGUCAAAAACAGUAAUUUGACACUUUCACAAGUCAUUAAAAUGAAGUUUUUCAAAAUAUCCCGUUAACAUCCUUUCUAACAUCAUCAAAUUGAGAUGUUCAGUCCGAGUGUUUUCUAAAAGUUCAAAUGAAAAUUGCUUUUCUUUAACAAGUAGGAAGACUUGUCUCCAAGCGUUCUUCCUUUGAGAUUUAUUUUAAAUUAUUUCUUUCAUCAUGUUAAAACUGAUCUAUUAAAUAUUUUCCUCAAAUCGUCAGAUUUCUUAAGGGACUUAAACAUUUUCCUUAAGAUAUAAGUAGUUAAGUUCCACAGAAGUUAGCCAAUGCUGAAAUUGAAUACUCUCUUGUUUUCUAUCAAGUUAUAUAGUUAGCUAUACAUUAAUACUUUAGCAUAAUAUUCUUUAUUAAUUAACCUAAGUUUGGCCGAUUAACCGUAGUUAACGGAUCAUAUAGGGUGCCUUAAUAACCUUCCCCAUAGGAUUAAUUAGAACCCUUACACAUAAUUUUAAGGUUAAGCAGACCAUAAAACAGAGUUAACUUUAAGCACUAUUUAGCUAAAAUUGGUGUCUUAAUUCACCGUUAAAAUAAUUAGGUGGGGACUCUCUUUAAUUAAUUAAAUCUUUAGAAUUAACAAUAUGUUAUACUCUAGUUUGACUCGUGUUAAAAUGGGGUAUAACAAGUACGCAUACGUCUGUACUUAUCUUCGAGAAGCUAUCGAACCCUUAGGAAAACUUCACAUUCUUGUAUUCUUGUCGUGCGAAUUUGUUGAUUCCGCAAAAUAAACUUCUUUUAUUCUAUUCUCUCACAGAUGGUGAGGACACGUGCUACCAGAUCAGGCGUACGGCCACUAGUACCACCAACUUGGGCCAUGAGAGGCCGAGGCCACGGUAGAGGCCGUGGUGCAACUCGUACAACAGCUAGAACAACACCUGUAGACCCAC
rnacentral:lncRNA from 1 species